GGCAUGUUUUAACAUGCCAGAGAGGGUCGCAGAAAAUUACCGCCGGCGUGCCGGUAAGGGUGAAAACGGGAGGUAAGAGCUCCCGCAUCGGUUGGGUAACCAGUCAGUGGGAUAAACCUUGUGGGUUGAAAUGCCAUGUAUAUCCUGGGUUCCUUCGGGAGGUGGAGUUGCACGCUCUACUGGAAACGGUCAGGAGGGGUAGGCAGAUUGAGCUUUGGUGUGAACCUAAGCCUAGAUAAAUGACAGGGAACCUUUCGGGGUUACAGAAUCCGGCUUAUAGAUUUCCACUUUUU
rnacentral:RNase_P_RNA from 1 species